AAGACAUGCGGGCGUGCACGCGCGCGUGGCAGUGCAACAAGGAGGGAGAAGCGGGAGCUCGCGCCAGUUCUCAAACAGCCCGCACGCGCUCGAAAUUCCUCCAAGGAACCUCUGCGAGCUUUUCUUUUUUCAUCACGCGCGAGCUAAAAAUAGAAACGGGGUUGGAUCGUGAUCCAGAAAUAGAUAGGGGGCAUCACUCCUAUAAAAGGCACACCAUUCAAGAGUACAGUGAAGAAGCGGAAAGCCGGAGCACAUUUUAUGGUUGAUAAAAAGAAGAAGAAGAAGAAAAGAGGCGUUUUAUUUGGGGGGUCCUCUUUUUGCGCCACUUUUCGUAUUUUUAAAGGAGGCUCCGCUGCUACAAUGGUUCUUCACAUCACACAUUCGACAAUGAGACACAGCAGCAGUGACCAAAGCGCAAUGAGGUCAGCAGGUGGAACCAAGUGAGGGAAUCUGUAAAAGGGAAGUAAAGAGUAAAGUCUUUCAUUUUAUUUAUUUUUUAUUUUUUAUUUUGCAAAAUCAGCUGGUAAUGUUCUCAUGGUGUGAGGAUGUAAUCGUCACCUUCGACACGUACACAGACACACUCGCUGCGUUUAUCUUACAUGCCCUUCUUUUUCAUUCAUCUUGUUCUUUUGUUCGCCGUCUGUUAUUGUGGAUCAAAACGCAUUAUGAUCAUUCCAAGAAGGAAACUGAUUCAGCUUAAGCAAACUUUUCUUUUACCCUCUUUUGUUAAAUACUGGACUAUUUAACAAAGGCACAAGGGGCACAUUUAAUGUGUUUACAAUCAAAUAUUCAUAAUGUGUUUAUAACAUGCCAAUACACAGUCCUGUGUAGGGUGCCUGUUUUUUCCAACCCACACUGCCAUGCGUACACCGUCAGAUCUCCACACAUAUGAGUCUUCAGAUCAUUGCACAAUGUUAUGAUGAUUGUGUGAUUGUUCCAUGAUUUUGGUAAACUUUUUAAACCUGCCUUAAUCAGGAUCGAAUUCUGAGGUCACACACAGGGUGAAAGAAGCAGGAAGUGACCCCCACCCCCCACCCCCAUGCCCUAAACCCCUCUUCCUUAGCUCCAGCAUCUCAUGAAGUCAUGAGCUCCUGGUUUAGAAGAAUAUGUACAAUACUCCCUAUCAGUACCUCCCCUCCAGGACAUCUCUUAAAUCAGCUUACCUGCUGACAGAAAAGUAAAAGUGCAUAGCUCCAAAAUAUACACACACUGGUUAGAAGGCAGUCUUUUGUCAUUGUGUGUUGAUGGAGGUUUGGGGAAAGGACAGGGACAAGGUAGAAAUACUUAAAAAGGUCUUUUCAACAGCGAAGGACAUCAUACUUAAAAAAAAGUCUUUCACAAACCAAAUUAAUAAUUUAAGGAAAACAGAGGGAUUCUGAAAUUUUAUACUGGAAAAUAUACAAAAAUGUAGAUUAAUGAUGUGGUGUGUGUGUGUUUCUCUCUUUUUCUACAGGGCUGUACUGCAUGCGUCAUUGCUGACAUAUGGGACCGCAAAUGAGAAGCUGAUUUGUAGUUUUAAAUGUGUUAAACACGUCUGCGUCAAGCUCCACAGGAGAUAUCCCAUGGAAAUAAUGUUUGUAAACGUAUUAAGCGAUGCCAGCUUUUUUUGUUUUGCAGUGCUUUUCCUGCUUAGACGUAAAAUCACUGUUAAUUCAUGACAGCGGGCAGAAUGAAAUUUUCGUUACGAGUUAAUGUGCGUCUGUGCUGUAGUGUUGGCUUUUCAGACGUAAGAGUGAAUGUCUGCAUGCCUGGAUUCGAGACACUGCCAUUAUGUGCAAAAGUGCAGUGAAGAAAACGUGCAAAGUUUCCCACAGCAUCCUGAGAUUUAUAUGAUUACUUUGUUGAGAUUUUGCAUGGACACUGUUAUGCAAAUGUCACUAAAUACUUGAAAGCCACACGCAUGUGUUCUGCACCUACAUUUGUGUAUCAGGCAGAAAGGUUUCAGAUAAACACAACAAGAAUUACAUAGAAACUAUACAAAUUUACAGUUUGCAGAGAAACUCACUUAGCAUGGAGUAAGUUAAAAUAAAAAUAAGAGAAGUGAGCAUUUCCAAAAAAUAAAUAUGUCAAUAGAUACACUCCCUUGUAAAGGGUGCCAUAAUAAAUGCAUUCAAAUACGAGUUACCUUGAACAUAUAACAUUUAACUCAGGUGUAGAUUUUCUCCAUGAUAACAGACUUCUGUUUCCCUUAGUGUAACAACAGGUAAGAUAAGACACAAAUAGCAUGUGGACAAACUGUAUCCAGUUAUUACUGAGGUGUGUGUGUGUGUGUGUGUCUGUGUGUGUGUGUGCUUUGCUAUACAAUCCUGUUUUCUUCUUCAAGAUUCUUUGCUUUGCUAUGUAAUUCAAUUCUUUUAAAAUUAACAUUACAUUUCAGCUCAGUCUCUUUCUUUCUUGUUUUCUCUUUCAGGUGUUUAAAAAGUCAGUGAUAUGUAAAACUUAAACAGAUUUCCCGACUGUGAUUUCAUUUUCUCCUUUGCCCUUAAUAUACACCGAAUUUCAAUUUUGUGGCACGUCAUUAACUGUGUGUAUUAUUAUCAUUAUUAUUGUCUUUAAAUAAAGUUAUUUCAAGUCUUUAUGCAGCAACAUGGAUGAUUAAUAAAAGCCUUGUGAAAUCCUG